rnacentral:rRNA from 1 species
AGAGUUUGAUCAUGGCUCAGAUUGAACGCUGGCGGCAGGCCUAACACAUGCAAGUCGGGCGGUAACAGGGAGCAGCUUGCUUCUCCGCUGACGAGCGGCGGACGGGUGAGUAAUGUAUGGGGAUCUGCCUGAUGGCGGGGGAUAACUACUGGAAACGGUAGCUAAUACCGCAUAAUGUCUACGGACCAAAGAGGGGGACCUUCGGGCCUCUUGCCAUCAGAUGUGCCCAGAUGGGAUUAGCUAGUAGGUGAGGUAACGGCUCACCUAGGCGACGAUCCCUAGCUGGUCUGAGAGGAUGACCAGCCACACUGGAACUGAGACACGGUCCAGACUCCUACGGGAGGCAGCAGUGGGGAAUAUUGCACAAUGGGCGCAAGCCUGAUGCAGCCAUGCCGCGUGUAUGAAGAAGGCCUUAGGGUUGUAAAGUACUUUCAGUUGGGAGGAAGGCGUUGAUGCUAAUAUCAUCAACGAUUGACGUUACCAACAGAAGAAGCACCGGCUAACUCCGUGCCAGCCGCCGCGGUAAUAC